rnacentral:rRNA from 1 species
AUUGAACGCUGGCGGAAUGCUUUAUACAUGCAAGUCGAACGGUAGAGGGGGCAACCCCUCGAGAGUGGCGAACGGGUGAGUAAUAUAUCGGAACGUGCCCAGUCGUGGGGGAUAAAGUAGAGAAAGUUACGCUAAUACCGCAUACGAUCUAAGGAUGCAAGCGGGGGAUCGCAAGACCUCGCGCGAUUGGAGUGGCCGAUAUCAGAUUAGGUAGUUGGUGGUGUAAAGGCUCACCAAGCCAACGAUCUGUAGCUGGUCUGAGAGGACGACAAGCCACACUGGAACUGAGACACGGUCCAGACUCCUACGGGAGGCAGCAGUGGGGAAUUUUGGACAAUGGACGCAAGUCUGAUCCAGCCAUUCCGCGUGCAGGAUGAAGUCCCUCGAGUUGUAAACUGCUUUUGUACGGAACGAAAAGGUCUCUCUUAAUACGGGGGGCUCAUGACGGUACCGUAAGAAUAAGCACCGGCUAACUACGUGCCAGCCGCCGCAGUAA